AAACCCUAAACCGCACAAAACCGCCUACGCCAUUCCGCUGUCCGCAAUCCACUCCCUCCUCCCACGAAACUCUUGGCCAUGGCUUGGCGCGGCGCCGCCUCCCGCUCAAUCUUCGCCGCCGUCCGUGCCCGCGCCGCAUCCUCCUCCUCCUCCUCAGCGGCCACGCGCCUCCGCUCGGCGGCUCCAAUUGCCGCCACCCCGCGCCGCACCGUCCCCGCCUUUGCUUUCGCGGCCGCGAGGCCGUUGGCGGCGAUGGCGGGGUACCCCGCGGCGGUCGCGGUGAGGCUCACCGGGCACUCGGCGACGAGCGUGCGGGCGUGCUGUGAGCUCUCCCAGGGUACCCUCUUCUGCCGCACUUGUCAGGAUCGUUAGCAAGUUAGUGAUCAUGCAUCAUGAUAUGUCAUCAUCGUAUGUACUGUAUAUCCGUGGGCACCUAUGGUUGCUCAUUUUGUCCAAGAUUUGUAAUCCUUAUAUUUGUUCAAUUCGUGUUAUGCAAUGAUCCUAUGCAUGUGCCUUGGUAGCAUUGCUCCUGUUUCAUGGGCAGCAGCCUAAGAAUUUUGCAGAGUUGAACCAGGAAUGGGUUGUUGCUUGAGGAAAUGACGAUGAUGCAUGAUGCUUGGGAAGCAGUUUUAAAGCAUGGAAAAGGUGCUGCUGUGAUAAGUGAACUAUUUUUCUUGUUACUUUGGCACUUGAAUGCACACUUUUGUCUUCCAAUGCAAGGGUAGGAUCUCUCGUCGGGCUUGCGGCCUUUUUCCUGCAUUUUGCAGAGUGCCUCGUGUGUCGGCAAACGGACAGUACACUUGCUGCAACUAAAAUAUAAACAAGCCUAUGUUAGCCUGCUACGCAGUACGCACUGUGUUCGUGCAUGUUUUCAUUUGACCUUGUUUCCAUGAUGCUUCGACGUGUUACGCGUGCUCGUGCUUCUUGCUGUGUCAUCACUGGUCCACAUUUUCUUGCGGAAAGUGUUCCUUUGUACGAGCUUAUGAAACCAGUGUGCACAAGCGACGGACGGAUUUGUACCAUCCAGAACGAUAGUGAUCCGUUUUACCAACUCCUGAAA